ACAGCAUAAAAGCAACAAACAUAAUAGAACCUCUUCAGUCGAGAAAAGAAAUGAAAGUGAUCCCAGCUAUAGCUACCUGAGCAGCCUGCAGCAGCUGGGGCUGGAUGAAGGCCUGGAGGGGGAUGAGGGUACUACAGACCCUGUCACAGCCAGGGGAGCCUACCUGUCACUGCUCUGCCUUCGACACCUUAAGAUCAGGGAACUGCAGCGCAUCUGCCUGGGCAUUCUGAACUACCUGAGGUCCAUAGAGAGAACACUGACCUUUGACAUGGCUGGGAUGCGCGUGGAGGGAGACGGAGAAAGUUCAGGAGGUGAGGCCGGUGGGGAAGAAGCCAGAGGAAGUGGUCUUGUCAGCAGCGCGGAGGAGUCAAGCUGGAUGAGUGCGGCCAGGGGGGCCAGUGGGACAGUAGGAGGUCUAGGCUCUCACCUCUACAGCCAGAACACUCCUGUUGAUUACAAGGUAUGGGCUUACUGCUACUACAAUUGUUCAGUUGUGUAUCG
rnacentral:lncRNA from 1 species